CAAGCUCGAAAUCACCAGCACCCAGCCAAGCUCGAAAUCACCCAAGCUCGAAAUCACCAGCACCCAGCCACCCACAGCCAUCAGUGAAGCCCACCGCCAUCGCCAUCGCCACCGUAUCCCGCAGCCAGCCAUCCACAGCAGCGACGACGUUGACCACCGCAACCACCACCGCGUCCUGCUUCUCGCUGAGCCCGCCUCCUCUGUCGUCCUCGCCGAGCGUCGCCUUCUGAGGUAUUGGUGGCUCUUCAAGCGGCGCUGACCGUUAUUGGUAACUUCACAAUGUGCAUUGCUGCUUACAGGAUAUACAAAUCGUCCAGCGAAGGCUCCAAGAAUUUUUGAAUGAAAAACCUUCCACGAGAUCAAGUAAGCAGAGAAGUCCCCUCCAAAAUGGUUUGAAGAUGUGGUCCAUUUCUUUCAUAAUUCACAUGUCAUUUUUCUUUUCAAGUAAAGAAAAGCCAUCCCAUCUUGUCUACCCUCUAAAAAAUCCAUGCCACCCCAUAAAGAUAAUGAAAGCAUUCAUAAUGGCUCAUCAGUCACAAGUCAAAGUGUCAAACUUUGAUCAUCCACAUGGACCUAAACUUUGAUGUUUGAAGUUGUUUGUGAACCUCUAAUAUUAAGUAAUGAAUAAAUUAUUAUGUGAAAUUUUAAA